ACGGAAGGCAGCAGCUAAGAAUAUUCCGCAAUGGACGAAAGUCUGACGGAGCGACGCCGCGUGGAUGAUGAAGGUCGGAAGAUUGUAAAAUCCUUUUAUAACUGAGGAAUAAGCAGGGUGAGAGAAACGCCUUGCGGUGACUGUAGGUUAUGAAUAAGCAACGGCUAAUUACGUGCCAGCAGCCGCGGUAACACGUAAGUUGCGAGCGUUGUUCGGAAUUAUUGGGCGUAAAGGGCAUGUAGGCGGUUUUGCAAGCUUGAUGUGAAAGGCAGGAGCUUAACUCCUGGACUGCGUUGAGAACUGCAUGACUAGAGUCACUGAGGGGCAAUCAGAAUUCCUGGUGUAGGGGUGAAAUCUGUAGAUAUCAGGAAGAAUACCGAUGGCGAAGGCAGGUUACCAGCAGAUGACUGACGCUGAGGUGCGAAGGUGCGGGGAGCAAACAGGAUUAGAUACCCUGGUA
rnacentral:rRNA from 1 species